GAGGAGCCUGCCGCAGAUGAGGCCAUUACCGCUCGCCUUUAGGCGUCCUCCUCGUGAUAGCGUCAUUUAAAGAACGAGGGUCAGCACGUCGUAAAAA